rnacentral:rRNA from 1 species
AACGAACGCUGGCGGCAUGCCUAACACAUGCAAGUCGAACGAACCCUUCGGGGUUAGUGGCGCACGGGUGCGUAACGCGUGGGAAUCUGCCCAAAGGUUCGGAAUAACUCAGGGAAACUUGAGCUAAUACCGGAUAAUGUCGCAAGACCAAAGAUUUAUUGCCUUUGGAUGAGCCCGCGUAGGAUUAGCUAGUUGGUGGGUAAAGGCCUACCAAGGCGACGAUCCUUAGCUGGUCUGAGAGGAUGAUCAGCCACACUGGACUGAGACACGGCCCAGACUCCUACGGGAGGCAGCAGUGGGAUAUUGGACAAUGGGCGAAAGCCUGAUCCAGCAAUGCCGCGUGAGUGAUGAAGGCCUUAGGGUUGUAAAGCUCUUUUACCCGGGAUGAUAAUGACAGUACCGGGAGAAUAAGCUCCGGCU